rnacentral:tRNA from 1 species
GGAGGUAUAUAGCUCAGUGGUAGAGCACAUGCUUAGCAUGCAUGAGGUCCUGGGUUCGAUCCCCAGUACCUCCA